rnacentral:rRNA from 1 species
GACGAACGCUGGCGGCGUGCCUAAUACAUGCAAGUCGAGCGAAGCGGCGGAGGGGUGAGUAACGCGUGGGUAACCUGUCUUUUAGUUUUGGCUACCAUUCGGAAACAGAUGCUAAUACCGGAUACUAAAGGAUGGACCGGCGAUGCAUUAGCUAGUUGGUAAGGUAACGGUCUACCAGGUGGAUGAUGCAUAGGCGAGUUGAGCGACGGAUGUGCCACAUUGGGACUGAGACACGGCCGAAACUCAUACGGGAGGCAGCAGUAGGGAAUCUUCCACAAUGGUCGAAAGUCUGAUGGAGCAGAGCCGCGUGAGUGAAGAAGGGUUUCGGAUCGUAGAGCUCUGUUGUUGGUGAAGCGAUAAUCAGCCAGAGAGUCACGGCUAACUACGUGCCAGCAGCCGCGGUAAUAC